GACGGUGAGACUCUGUCUCAAAAAAGAAAAAGAAAAAAAGAAAAAAUUCACCCCUUAGGCGGGUGCAAAGGUAGUGAGUAAUUUCAGUUAAUUGUUCACAGGCAGGUACAGAUCGAUCUCCUUGUUCUACUCUUUCCCUCCUUCUUACUACCGCUCCUGAGUAGUCUUAAAAGAAGAUUCAGCCCUAGCAGCAUCCUGGGAGCUAACCUGACUCCCACCCCAGGCUGGGCUGCACCUCCUUCCUGUUUUCUCGCCUUUUUUUUUUUUUUUUUUUUUCUGAGAUGAAGUUUCGCUCUGUCUCCCAGGCUAGAGUGCAGUGGUACAAUCUCAGCUCACUGCAAUCUCUGCCUCCCGGGUUCAAGCAAUUCUCCUGCCUCAGCCUCCGAAGUAGCUGGGAUUACAGGCACACGCCACUAUGCCUGGCUAAUUUUUGUAUUUUUAGUAGAGACGGGGUUUCACCAUAUCGGCCAGGUGGUCUUGAACUCUUGACCUCAAGUGAUCCGCCUGCCUCAGCCUCCCAAAGUGCUGGGAUUACAGGUGUGAGACACCGCACCUGGCCUGUUUUCUCACCUUAAUAGUGGUCCUCACACCACACUGGAGUGGAUCACCCCCUUCUUUAUUGUCACCCCC
rnacentral:lncRNA from 1 species